rnacentral:lncRNA from 1 species
CUGGCCGCUGGCAGCCCUGCUGGUGGGUCCUGCCUCUUUGACACCGUUCCUUUCUGAAGCUUGUUUUCCCCAGUGUUGGAAGUAGCAGCACUGGAGGAAUGGCCUUCGUCCUACAGCAAAGCUCUGCCAGGAGAGGAGGAGAAGACAUAGAGCAUCUGUUGAGGGACAUGACGUUCUGGGCACUGCACCAUGCCUUCUGCUUCUCAGCAGUGCCUCCUGGUUGAUGUUACAGUCACCUGGCAUCGCCCAGGAGGUAACUCGCAGAGGUAGGCAGGGAGCCGAAGGAGCUCAGGAAGGAGUGAGCCGUCACAGGGUGGGGGAGGUUCAGGAGCUAGCAGGCAAGUGGGAUGUGGCCUCAAGGUGCUGCUGGGUUGGUGAGGGGUCUUCUGGGACUUUUCUGAGAGUGCAGUCAGUUGUAGGGUGGGUGCCGGCUCCCGCAGAUAGAAGAGCCAAGUGUGCAGGAGACCAACGUGUGCACUGGGAGUCCCCAGGGGCGUGUCCUGGCACGCGGCCCAGAGGCCCCUGAGAAGGCUCAGUGCACCAGGCACACAGCGGAUUGUUGGUGCUUGACCCGACGAGAAGGUGAGGAAGUGAGGAGGUGAGGAGGGCCGAGAGACAGGUGCAGGGAUGCACUAGACAGGGUGCAGUCAGGUGGAGGGUCACACUGUGGGGUUGACGAGAGACGGGUGUGGUCAGUGUGGAGGGUCAUGCUGUGGGAUCCAGGAGAGAUGGGGGUGGUCAGGUGGAGGGUCAUUCUUGGGGUUCCAGGAGAGACAGGUGUGGUUGGGUGGAGGGUCACUCUUGGGGUCCCAGGAGAGACGGGUGUGGUCGGGUGGAGGGUCACACUGUGGGGUCCAGGAGAGAUGGGGGUGGUCAGGUGAAGGGUCACACUGUGGGGUCCAGGAGAGAUGGGUGUGGUCAGGUGAAGGGUCACACUGUGGGGUCGAGGAGAGACGGGUGGAGGGUCACUCUUGGGGUUCCAGGAGAGAUGGGGGUGGUCGGGUGGAGGGUCACACUGUGGGGUCCAGGAGAGACGGGUGUGGUCAGUGUGGAGGGUCACGCUGUGGGAUCCAGGAGAGAUGGGGUUGGAGGGUCACUUUGGGG